AAAUAGCCCACUCUUCUUCAUGAGCAGUUUGACGUUUCGUUUUUUCUCGCAGUAGCAUUUUCAGAUUUUUUGCAAUCAGACUGCAAAAUUUUCAGCCGGUGAUUCCGUGAUCACCGCACGCGUGCCUGAAAGUGGUUCCUGGAGGUGGACAAAAGUGUUUUCCGAUUCUAUAAGAACUGCUCUCCUUUUCCACGGAUCCACUUCCGGUGCCGGACCCAGCAAGCUGGCUGCAGUUUGGCGUCCACAUGACCUCCGAAACCCGCGAUGAGCAGCUGGUGCUGGAAGUUUUCCGUUGCGCAGCUCGUUGGAUUAAGACGGCGGGGAAUCGGAGCAACUUCGUCGAGUUUAAGGCCGGGCAGUUUAUUAACCUUGCCGCGAUCAAGUUUUCAGGUGGGAGUUGUGCAAGUUGGUUGAGGAGGAUUGUGGGGAGGAGGAGGAGUAAAUUUACUUUCGGUCAACUUCAACAAAAAACUGGCCAGCCUCCAGAUCGACCACGAGUUUGUCCAUGACAAGCAUUGGGCUUCUGGGAGUUGGACCACAAAUCGACACUUGCUCCGUCCGCGGACGUCAAUACUACGCUGCUCAAUUCGCCAAAACGAAAAAAUCCGUUUGUCCGGAAACAUCCCAAACGGCAGUCGUCCCCUGCGGCAGACCAUCGCCGCGAACGGUGCUGUACGGAGAAACCGUCGAGAAGAUUCAAGUCAAGGACAACCGGGAAACCCGCGUGGUACGCUUUCUACACGCAAUCAUCCUCGGCGGCGUCGACGUCCGCACCUUCCCGCUGGCCAAGCGCAGCGCACUCUGCACCAAGUUCGCAAACACGCUGAACCUGCUGCUGUACCACCUCAGCCCAACCCGGUCCGCCCGGUUCCGGUUUGUGCCAAGCAGCUGUACGCGCUCGCUGAAAUGAAGCACUUUCUCCCUAACGUGACCAUCUACACGCUCGAGAGCAGCACCAAGGAUACGGACAAGCCGUUGAGCGGUUCAAGUCGCGCAAAACCCAGCGCUUUUACAUUCCGCUUUUGGAGGUGGACAGGAUUUUUGGACCGAAGUGGCACGAUUUAUCUGAGAGGAGGGUUUCAUAACGGAAUGUAUGGAACGGGAAACACCCCGAUGUUGAUGACCACGUUAGUCCGUUGACCACUAUUCGCGACAUCUAGACGUAGUUCGUGUCAACCAAAGCUCGCCUGAAUGACGUCGAAGCCCGUUUGCCGUCGACAGUGUCCGCCGAGUUGGUCCCACCAUGGCGUCACUCAGAAGAUACAGUGCUGGCCGGCAAUGAUCGUUACUGCGCGGCACAGCCGUCGGAUCACUCCUCCCUUCCCGACCGCGGAUCGCGUCGUCGUACCUUCAACGAGAUCGCGAAACUGAACGGACGGAGGCGCUUUUCUAACAGCAAGGGUACGACUAUUGGGUCACAAGAACUACGAGCACAAGAAGUUGAGUGUGCGCGACUUUGUUGGUCCCUCGAAACAAACCCCAGCGUCCUCAGGAGGUCGCCAUCGCCGAUUCGGGGGACUGAUCGACAACACCGAAGCUAAGGCUCUAGGGUUAAUCACCGGCUCGAAUCUGCAAAGGACUUGAAGGACCUUUCCGACACACAAAUCGCCGGAAAUUUGGUGGACUGCAAGCGCAAACUGAUUCUGCGUUCUCGUGAUUAAUUAUUGUCAUAGGGAUGACCAAACAACUUAGUUACAUUUAAAAGCUUGUGUAAC
rnacentral:misc_RNA from 1 species